AUCAUUUCACACUUGAUUUUUUUGUUGAAAUGAUUAUUAAUAUGAUUUUUUUUUGAACGAGUUUUUUUGGUGGUUGGUGACGCCGGAGUUCGAAACGUCGUCGGAGUCAAGAUCUAGUAAUGGUUUAGCCUUUUGAUCUGAACAAAACAUAUCCAUAAAGAUAUU